UACGGAGGAGGCAAGCGUUUAUCCGGAAUUAUUGGGCGUAAAGCGUCCGCAGGUGGCUCGUCAAGUCUGCGGUCAAAAACCGAGGCUUAACUUCGGCAAGGCCGUGGAAACUGAAGAGCUAGAGAGCCGUAGGGGUAGAGGGAAUUCCCGGUGUAGCGGUGAAAUGCGUAGAGAUCGGGGAAGAACAUCGGUGGCGAAAGCGCUCUACUGGACGGUGUCUGACACUCAGGGACGAAAGCUAGGGGAGCGAAUGGG
rnacentral:rRNA from 1 species